rnacentral:tRNA from 1 species
GUGGUUCAGUGGUAGAAUACUCUCCUUCCACGCAGGAGACCUGGGUUCGAUUCCCAGC